AGUGAACGCUGGCGGUAGGCCUAACACAUGCAAGUCGAACGGCAGCACAGUAAGAGCUUGCUCUUACGGGUGGCGAGUGGCGGACGGGUGAGGAAUACAUCGGAAUCUACCUUUUCGUGGGGGAUAACGUAGGGAAACUUACGCUAAUACCGCAUACGACCUACGGGUGAAAGCAGGGGAUCUUCGGACCUUGCGCGAUUGAAUGAGCCGAUGUCGGAUUAGCUAGUUGGCGGGGUAAAGGCCCACCAAGGCGACGAUCCGUAGCUGGUCUGAGAGGAUGAUCAGCCACACUGGAACUGAGACACGGUCCAGACUCCUACGGGAGGCAGCAGUGGGGAAUAUUGGACAAUGGGCGCAAGCCUGAUCCAGCCAUACCGCGUGGGUGAAGAAGGCCUUCGGGUUGUAAAGCCCUUUUGUUGGGAAAGAAAAGCAGCAGGUUAAUACCCCGCUGUCCUGACGGUACCCAAAGAAUAAGCACCGGCUAACUUCGUG
rnacentral:rRNA from 1 species